GACAGAGGGUGCAAACGUUGUUCGGAAUUACUGGGCGUAAAGCGAGUGUAGGCGGUCUCGUAAGUCGGGUGUGAAAGCCCUGGGCUCAACCCAGGAAGUGCACUCGAAACUGCGAGGCUAGAGUACUGGAGAGGUUGGUGGAAUUCUCGGUGUAGAGGUGAAAUUCGUAGAUAUCGAGAGGAACUCCGGUGGCGAAGGCGGCUCGCUGGAUCUUUUCUGACGCUGAGGCGCGAAAGCUAGGGGAGCAAACGGG
rnacentral:rRNA from 1 species